UAGGGAAUCUUCCACAAUGGACGCAAGUCUGAUGGAGCAACGCCGCGUNAAGUGAAGAAGGUUUUCGGACCGUAAAGCUCUGUUGUUGGUGAAGAAGGAUAGAGGUAGUAACUGGCCUUUAUUUGACGGUAAUCAACCAGAAAAGUCACGGCUAACUACGUGCCAGCAGCCGCGGUAAUACGUAGGUGGCAAGCGUUGUCCGGAUUUAUUGGGCGUAAAGCGAGCGCAGGCGGAAGAAUAAGUCUGAUGUGAAAGCCCUCGGCUUAACCGAGGAAUUGCAUCGGAAACUGUUUUCUUGAGUGCAGAAGAGGGAGAGUAGAACUCCAUGUGUAGCGGUGGAAUGCGUAGAUAUAUGGAAGAAUACCAGUGGCGAAGGCGGCUCUCUGGUCUGCAACUGACGCUGAGGCUCGAAAGCAUGGGUAGCGAACAGGAUUAGAUACCCUGGUAGUCCAUGCCGUAAACGAUGAGUGCUAAGUGUUGGGAGGCUUCCGCCUCUCAGUGCUGCAGCUAACGCAUUAAGCACUCCGCCUGGGGGAGUACGACCGCAAGGUUGAAAC
rnacentral:rRNA from 1 species